UACGAAGGGGACUAGCGUUGUUCGGAAUCACUGGGCGUAAAGCGCACGUAGGCGGAUUUGUAAGUCAGGGGUGAAAUCCCGGGGCUCAACCUCGGAAUUGCCUUCAAAACUGGGUAUCUUGAGUUCGGGAGAGGUGAGUGGAACUCCGAGUGUAGAGGUGAAAUUCGUAGAUAUUCGGAAAGAACACCAGUGGCGAAGGCGACUCACUGGCCCGAUACUGACGCUGAGGCGCGAAAGCGUGGGGAGCGAACAGGAUUGAGACUACC
rnacentral:rRNA from 1 species